UGGCGGCGUGCUUAACACAUGCAAGUCGAACGGAAAGGCCCUGCUUUUGUGGGGUGCUCGAGUGGCGAACGGGUGAGUAACACGUGAGUAACCUGCCCUUGACUUUGGGAUAACUUCAGGAAACUGGGGCUAAUACCGGAUAGGAGCUCCUGCUGCAUGGUGGGGGUUGGAAAGUUUCGGCGGUUGGGGAUGGACUCGCGGCUUAUCAGCUUGUUGGUGGGGUAGUGGCUUACCAAGGCUUUGACGGGUAGCCGGCCUGAGAGGGUGACCGGCCACAUUGGGACUGAGAUACGGCCCAGACUCCUACGGGAGGCAGCAGUGGGGAGUAUUGCACAAUGGGCGGAAGCCUGAUGCAGCAACGCCGCGUGCGGGAUGACGGCCUUCGGGUUGUAAACCGCUUUCGCCUGUGACGAAGCGUGAGUGACGGUAAUGGGUAAAGAAGCACCGGCUAACUACGUGCCAGCAGCCGCGGUGAUACGUAGGGUGCGAGCGUUGUCCGGAUUUAUUGGGCGUAAAGGGCUCGUAGGUGGUUGAUCGCGUCGGAAGUGUAAUCUUGGGGCUUAACCCUGAGCGUGCUUUCGAUACGGGUUGACUUGAGGAAGGUAGGGGAGAAUGGAAUUCCUGGUGGAGCGGUGGAAUGCGCAGAUAUCAGGAGGAACACCAGUGGCGAAGGCGGUUCUCUGGGCCUUUCCUGACGCUGAGGAGCGAAAGCGUGGGGAGCGAACAGGCUUAGAUACCCUGGUAGUCCACGCUGUAAACGGUGGGUACUAGGUGUGGGGUCCAUUCCACGGGUUCCGUGCCGUAGCUAACGCUUUAAGUACCCCGCCUGGGGAGUACGGCCGCAAGGCUAAAACUCAAAGGAAUUGACGGGGCCCCGCACAAGCGGCGGAGCAUGCGGAUUAAUUCGAUGCAACGCGUAGAACCUUACCUGGGUUUGACAUGGAUCGGGAGUGCUCAGAGAUGGGUGUGCCUCUUUUGGGGUCGGUUCACAGGUGGUGCAUGGCUGUCGUCAGCUCGUGUCGUGAGAUGUUGGGUUAAGUCCCGCAACGAGCGCAACCCUUGUUCACUGUUGCCAGCACGUUAUGGUGGGGACUCAGUGGAGACCGCCGGGGUCAACUCGGAGGAAGGUGGGGAUGACGUCAAGUCAUCAUGCCCCUUAUGUCCAGGGCUUCACGCAUGCUACAAUGGCUGGUACAGAGAGUGGCGAGCCUGUGAGGGUGAGCGAAUCUCGGAAAGCCGGUCUCAGUUCGGAUUGGGGUCUGCAACUCGACCUCAUGAAGUCGGAGUCGCUAGUAAUCGCAGAUCAGCAACGCUGCGGUGAGUACGUUCCCGGGGCUUGUACACACCGCCCGUCAAGUCAUGAAAGUUGGUAACACCCGAAGCCGGUGGCCUAACCGUUGUGGGGGAGCCGUCGAAGGUGGGACUGGUGAUUA
rnacentral:rRNA from 1 species